CCCUUAUUCAAGCAGACCAAGAAAAUGUGAGACUUUCUACAUCUGUAUUCACUUCACAGCCAACUUGUUGACACAUGGACGGCAAAAUAGAUAAAAGGAAGAACGGUGAUUAUCCGGAGGCACGCCAGUGAUUGUGAACAGCCAGCUGUGUUUGUAUCGCCACCACCUUGCUAAAAGAUCGUUGUGGAGGCUGCACAUCCCAGAUCAUGGCCCCGGCACAUUCAGUAGCAGGUGAAGACCCACUUCCUGGCUCAAGGACAGCCGUCUUCUUGCCGUG